CGGUAGCAGGCAGUAUGGGAUUGUUACGAAAGAAGCAAUUUUUGGAAGUCAGUUGAAUUCAUGAAACUGCUUAACAAUUCCUCUGCGAAUGACUCCAUUCGAAUCAAUCGAAGCACAGCGGUCAGGGAUGUCGAACAUUUUGCAGACGACAAAAAUACCGGUUCAGGUGUCGUAAUCAGUAGAGCAGUCAACACACUGCGAUCUGAUGAGACUCAUCCUUGUAAUCGAUUUGCUCGU
rnacentral:ncRNA from 1 species